rnacentral:rRNA from 1 species
UGAGGAAUAUUGGGCAAUGGGCGCAAGCCUGACCCAGCAACGCCGCGUGGAGGAAGACGGCCUUCGGGUUGUAAAGCUCUUUUCUGAGGGAAGAAUAGGUCUGGUAGGAAAUGAUCGGAUUCUGACGGUACCUCAGGAAUAAGGAACGGCUAACUCCGUGCCAGCAGCCGCGGUAAUACGGAGGUUCCAAGCGUUGUUCGGAAUUACUGGGCGUAAAGGGAGCGCAGGCGGAUGGGUCAGUUUAAAGUGGAAUCCCAGGGCUCAACCCUGGACGUGCUUUGGAUACUGCCUGUCUUGAGUUCGUGAGAGGAAAGUGGAAUUCAGGGUGUAGCGGUGAAAUGCUUAGAUAUCCUGAGGAACACCAGUGGCGAAAGCGACUUUCUGGCACGAAACUGACGCUGAGGCUCGAAAGCAUGGGUAGCGAACGGGAUUAGAUACCCCGGUAGUCCAUGCCGUAAACGUUGUAUACUAGGUGCGGGAGGUAUCGA